rnacentral:ribozyme from 13 species
UGUAGGAUGGAAUACAACACAACAGUGCGAAAGUGUUCAAAUUGUUGUUGUUUUUUUGUUUUUGUUUGUUUGUUCGUUAAUUUUUUGAUUUUUUUGAUUUUUUUGUGUGUGUUUCUCGUGAUGUGACCGU